rfam:Ipomoea nil DNA, scaffold: scaffold0164, cultivar: Tokyo-kokei standard.
GCAGGAGUAGCUCAGUUGGUUAGAGCGCGUGGCUGUUAACCUCAAGGUCGAAGGUUUAAGUCCUUCCUCUAGCG